GAUGAACGCUGGCGGCGUGCCUAAUACAUGCAAGUCGAGCGAAUGGAUUAAGAGCUUGCUCUUAUGAAGUUAGCGGCGGACGGGUGAGUAACACGUGGGUAACCUGCCCAUAAGACUGGGAUAACUCCGGGAAACCGGGGCUAAUACCGGAUAACAUUUUGAACCGCAUGGUUCGAAAUUGAAAGGCGGCUUCGGCUGUCACUUAUGGAUGGACCCGCGUCGCAUUAGCUAGUUGGUGAGGUAACGGCUCACCAAGGCAACGAUGCGUAGCCGACCUGAGAGGGUGAUCGGCCACACUGGGCCUGUGACACGGCCCAGACUCCUACGGGAGGCAGCAGUAGGGAAUCUUCCGCCAUGGACGAAAGUCUGACGGAGCAACGCCGCGUGAGUGAUGAAGGCUUUCGGGUCGUAAACCUCUGUUGUUAGGGAAGAACAAGUGCUAGUUGAAUAAGCUGGCCCCUUGACGGUACCUAACCAGAAAGCCACGGCUAACUACGUGCCAGCAGCCGCCGUAA
rnacentral:rRNA from 1 species